GACCCAUCCAAUAAACGAUUACCCCAACACUCUACUCAUCGCCAAUUUCCUCAUCAGCGACUUCAUGUUUCGAAUCGGUGUUUACUGAUUUCCUCAUGUUCGAUUUCGAUUCCAACAGGUUAUGAAUCGUGUCUUUCUGAUUUCAUCAUCAGUGAUUUUGCAGUCGUGUUUUACUGAUUUCAUCAUCAGUAAUUCCAACUUUUCCUGAUUACUAAAUAUCACAGAUUAUGGGAUUUAGGUGUGUGAAAUCUCUUGUGUCUGUGACAGCGGUCAUGUUUUUUCUAGUAUUAUAACUUCUGUCACGUAAAUUGUGUUUAUCUUCAUUCUUGGGUUACUUUAUUUCACUAAUUACAAAAUCAUUAGCGUUUGGCAGUCUAAAUUCGUCACGUGGGUUGCACUCAUGUGAUUGAGGAGGGUUCUACGUUCUGCCUCGUUCUAACAAUUGUGGAGUUCCCUUUCUUGAUGCAUUGUUUGUUCAUUGGAGAAUUUGAUCUUUUUACUCUAUGCAAAGGUCUAAUUUCAGAACAAUCUUUGACUAUUUUGCCCUAGGUUAUGGUGUUGCUACACUAUUCAUUGGGAUGAUAUAGAAACCUUUUGGUUGCUACUGCUUAAUCAACUAAGCCUUCAGAGACACUUGGGUUGUUGAAGUAAUAAAGGAUUUCUAGACAUGCAUUUCAUAAAUGUAAACUUCGUUCUAUUUUAUUUGAUAGAUUAUGUACCUACAUUGAAAUGGUCAGCAGUAGAGGCAGAUGAAGCAUAAAUUAUGGAAAUAACCCCGUUUAAAAAAGACUAGUAAUGGUUUUUUAUGUUUAGGAUUACAGAGGAGGGACAAGAAGUGUAAUUUUAACUUCACACUGCUAAAUCACGUUACAUUAUAUCAAUAAUAUUUUGGUUAAAUGCAAAAAGUGGCAACGUACUUCCA